UACGGAGGGUGCGAGCGUUAAUCGGAAUUACUGGGCGUAAAGCGCGCGUAGGUGGUUAUUUAAGUCAGAUGUGAAAGCCCUGGGCUCAACCUGGGAACUGCAUUUGAGACUGGGUAACUAGAGUACGGUAGAGGGGAGUGGAAUUUCAGGUGUAGCGGUGAAAUGCGUAGAGAUCUGAAGGAAUACCGGUGGCGAAGGCGGCCCCCUGGACAGAUACUGACACUCAGAUGCGAAAGCGUGGGGAGCAAACAGG
rnacentral:rRNA from 1 species